rnacentral:rRNA from 1 species
GACGAACGCUGGCGGCGUGCCUAAUACAUGCAAGUAGAACGCUGAAGGAGGAGCUUGCUUCUCUGGAUGAGUUGCGAACGGGUGAGUAACGCGUAGGUAACCUGCCUGGUAGCGGGGGAUAACUAUUGGAAACGAUAGCUAAUACCGCAUAAGAGUAGAUGUUGCAUGACAUUUGCUUAAAAGGUGCAAUUGCAUCACUACCAGAUGGACCUGCGUUGUAUUAGCUAGUUGGUGGGGUAACGGCUCACCAAGGCGACGAUACAUAGCCGACCUGAGAGGGUGAUCGGCCACACUGGGACUGAGACACGGCCCAGACUCCUACGGGAGGCAGCAGUAGGGAAUCUUCGGCAAUGGACGGAAGUCUGACCGAGCAACGCCGCGUGAGUGAAGAAGGUUGUCGGAUCGUAAAGCUCGGUUGUAAGAGAAGAACGAGUGUGAGAGUGGAAAGUUCACACUGUGACGGUAGCUUACCAGAAAGGGACGGCUAACUACGUG